AAAUGCCCAAGUUGAUAUUUUGAUGUCAAAGCCAUCAUGUUGAAAGAUUUGUAUGAUUUAUUGUCCUAAAUUAUCUCAGAACGAAAAUGAAAUCAAAUAGC